ensembl:lincRNA Gm5860 predicted gene 5860
ACAGUGGAAGGUCAGAAUGGGGAAGGCACUACUGAAGUACUGAGCGCCGCCAACCCAAAGUGCUUGAAUCUGAAAGAGGCAAAGGCAGACCAAGUCACAGAGCAGAUAGCUGAGCUUUUCAAGACAUGCAGCUGGCACCUAUCUCUGUGGACGAAAUGAUGUGCUAACUGCCCGUCUUGCUCUCUGUGAGUCUUUCCCUCACAGGAGAGCGUGCCAAUGCGGAUGGUUCACUUGCAUCUACUCUAGCCAUGCUUUGCUUUUGAUGAUGCAGGGAUGAAGAAAGGCUUGGUGACUCUGUGCCCCACUGCGCGGAGAAGACGGGGAGAGAAGGAAGAAGAUGGGGACAUAAGGAGAAGACGGGGAACUGGCUGAUUUGAGAUUAAUAACAUCAAAAAUGUGCUUGGAGGGGGAAGAUUUUCAUUCUUUGUGAUGUCCGUAUAUGAAAUAGUAUUAAUAGGGUGGAUGCAAUUCUGAGAAUUCCUAAGCCUGCGUUAGUCCUGUUAGAUAACUCUUGCUUCUGCUAAUCAUACUCAGAGCCCUUUGGGAGAUCUAAUUUCUCUCUCUCUCUCUCUCUCUCUCUCUCUCUCUCUCCUUUACCAGUACAUCUUAGCCUUCAUUGUUAUAACUCCCUUUGUUCACAUAAAUGGGUUUGUUGCUCAUUCCUUUUACAAACUGCAGUACUCCACUAGCUGCCAUUUGGAGAGAAGGUAUUCUUGUUCUCUCUAUCGUUGAUUAUAAAUUGAGUUUUAAUCGUUGAUUAUAAACUUUGUUAUGAAGCCUCAAGAGACAAAGCAUGCCAGCUCUCCACCUCUUUGAGAGAAAGCUGCACAGAGUUACACAGCCAAGAGGAGAGGGGAAGAGAGCCUUCCCAACCUGGCCUGUACUCCUUCCUGGCUUCACCUCAUUCGCUCCAUAAUUUCUCAAAGGCUAAAACUAUUUUUUUUAAGAUUUUAUUUAUUUUAUGUAUGUGAGUACACUGUAGCUGUCUUCAGACACACCGGAAGAGGGCAUCUGAUCCUAUUACAGAUGGUUGUGUGUCACCAUGUGGUUGCUGGGAAUUGAACUCAGGACCUCUGGAAGAGCAAUCAGUGCUCUUAACCACUGAGCCAUCUCUCUAGUUUGCUAAAACUUUUUUAAAAAUUCACUCCAUUACCCUUCCUACAAAGGGGGUUGGAGGCAGGGGCUACUGUCUUGGAGUAUUUUAACAAUUCAGUGACAUGGCCGAGAUUUUCAAAAGACCUCCCAAUUCAUGCUGUCCAACAGAAAUGUAAUGCAAGCCAUGUCUGUAAUUUAGACUUGCAAGUAGCCACACUUCCAAAAGGCAGAGAAGAAGCUGGGGAAAUUAAUUAUAAUAACACAUUUUCUUUAAUCUGAUGUAUCCAAAAUAUUAUCAUUUCAAGACCUAGUCACCAAAUCUAUGUUAAUGGAAUAUUUUACAUUUAUUUUAUUUCCUACUAAGUCUCUAAAAGCCAAUGUGGAUUUUACACACUGAGACAGUGCACUUUCAUAAGAAAUACUCACUUUAUAUUUAGCUUUGUCAAGACUUGCAGUUGAAAAAAAAUAGAUUCACAUACACAAGUUGUGCCAAAAGUACUUAAAUAUUUCCUAAAAUCUGAAUCAAGUAUAAGUGUUUUAAAUUUAAAAUAAUUAAGAUGAAAUAAACAUGGAAAG